rnacentral:rRNA from 1 species
GGGUUGUGAGGUUAAGUGACUAAGCGUACACGGUGGAUGCCCUGGCAGUCAGAGGCGAUGAAGGACGUGCUAAUCUGCGAUAAGCGUCGGUAAGGUGAUAUGAACCGUUAUAACCGGCGAUUUCCGAAUGGGGAAACCCAGUGUGUUUCGACACACUAUCAUUAACUGAAUCCAUAGGUUAAUGAGGCGAACCGGGGGAACUGAAACAUCUAAGUACCCCGAGGAAAAGAAAUCAACCGAGAUUCCCCCAGUAGCGGCGAGCGAACGGGGAGCAGCCCAGAGCCUGAAUCAGUGUGUGUGUUAGUGGAAGCGUCUGGAAAGGCGCGCGAUACAGGGUGACAGCCCCGUACACAAAAAUGCACAUACUGUGAGCUCGAUGAGUAGGGCGGGACACGUGGUAUCCUGUCUGAAUAUGGGGGGACCAUCCUCCAAGGCUAAAUACUCCUGACUGACCGAUAGUGAACCAGUACCGUGAGGGAAAGGCGAAAAGAACCCCGGCGAGGGGAGUGAAAAAGAACCUGAAACCGUGUACGUACAAGCAGUGGGAGCACGCUUAGGCGUGUGACUGCGUACCUUUUGUAUAAUGGGUCAGCGACUUAUAUUCUGUAGCAAGGUUAACCGAAUAGGGGAGCCGAAGGGAAACCGAGUCUUAACUGGGCGUUAAGUUGCAGGGUAUAGACCCGAAACCCGGUGAUCUAGCCAUGGGCAGGUUGAAGGUUGGGUAACACUAACUGGAGGACCGAACCGACUAAUGUUGAAAAAUUAGCGGAUGACUUGUGGCUGGGGGUGAAAGGCCAAUCAAACCGGGAGAUAGCUGGUUCUCCCCGAAAGCUAUUUAGGUAGCGCCUCGUGAAUUCAUCUCCGGGGGUAGAGCACUGUUUCGGCAAGGGGGUCAUCCCGACUUACCAACCCGAUGCAAACUGCGAAUACCGGAGAAUGUUAUCACGGGAGACACACGGCGGGUGCUAACGUCCGUCGUGAAGAGGGAAACAACCCAGACCGCCAGCUAAGGUCCCAAAGUCAUGGUUAAGUGGGAAACGAUGUGGGAAGGCCCAGACAGCCAGGAUGUUGGCUUAGAAGCAGCCAUCAUUUAAAGAAAGCGUAAUAGCUCACUGGUCGAGUCGGCCUGCGCGGAAGAUGUAACGGGGCUAAACCAUGCACCGAAGCUGCGGCAGCGACGCUGAUGCGUUGUUGGGUAGGGGAGCGUUCUGUAAGCCUGUGAAGGUGUGCUGUGAGGCAUGCUGGAGGUAUCAGAAGUGCGAAUG